rnacentral:rRNA from 1 species
AGCGAACGCUGGCGGCAGGCCUAACACAUGCAAGUUGAACGAAGCCUUCGGGCUUAGUGGCGGACGGGUGAGUAACACGUGGGAACGUACCAUUUGGUUCGGAAUAACGCAGAGAAAUUUGCGCUAAUACCGAAUGAGCCCUUCGGGGGAAAGAUUUAUCGCCGAAAGAUCGGCCCGCGUUGGAUUAGGUAGUUGGUGUGGUAAAGGCGCACCAAGCCUACGAUCCAUAGCUGGUCUGAGAGGAUGAUCAGCCACACUGGGACUGAGACACGGCCCAGACUCCUACGGGAGGCAGCAGUGGGGAAUCUUGCGCAAUGGGCGAAAGCCUGACGCAGCCAUGCCGCGUGAAUGAUGAAGGUCUUAGGAUUGUAAAAUUCUUUUACCAGGGACGAUAAUGACGGUACCUGGAGAAAAAGCCCCGGCUAACUUCGUGCCAGCCGCCGCUGUAAGAC